ensembl:scaRNA
UGGAAAUUAUGAAAGGUAACUGGAUGUUUGUUUAGGGGGGGUGAUUGGAAACAUUCUAAUUUAACACUUUAAUAUUAUGUUUUUAUAAUGUGUUUUUGAGAGAGAGGAAUGUACAAAGGCUACAUGGGGGCACUGAUGAAGUGCUGAUUUCAGAGUGCAUCUGAGGCAUGUUGAAAUUUUGAGAAGGGUGGUGUUUUGUUUUGCACAUUGCCAGUGAUAAGUGCCCAAAAUAAGCUCACCAGCUGAAUAUAGACAAUCUAAAGAUCUCUAACAGGUUCAUUGACAUAAAUGAUCCCAUGAGUUGAUCCAA